GCUUAUGGCAAUAUCACAUUGAAUGCACUGAUACUCGUCCGAUCACUGGAGUUAAGGAACGUCGAACCUAGUGAGUGCUUAGCUGGGUGACUGCUUGGGAAACCUGGGUGCUGUAAGCA
rnacentral:rRNA from 1 species